rnacentral:rRNA from 1 species
GAUGAACGCUGGCGGCGUGCCUAAUACAUGCAAGUCGAGCGAACGGACGAGAAGCUUGCUUCUCUGAUGUUAGCGGCGGACGGGUGAGUAACACGUGGAUAACCUACCUAUAAGACUGGGAUAACUUCGGGAAACCGGAGCUAAUACCGGAUAAUAUUUUGAACCGCAUGGUUCAAAGGUGAAAGACGGUCUUGCUGUCACUUAUAGAUGGAUCCGCGCUGCAUUAGCUAGUUGGUAAGGUAACGGCUUACCAAGGCAACGAUGCAUAGCCGACCUGAGAGGGUGAUCGGCGACACUGGAACUGAGACACGGUCCAGACUCCUACGGGAGGCAGCAGUAGGGAAUCUUCCGCAAUGGGCGAAAGCCUGACGGAGCAACGCCGCGUGAGUGAUGAAGGUCUUCGGAUCGUAAAACUCUGUUAUUAGGGAAGAACAUAUGUGUAAGUAACUGUGCACAUCUUGACGGUACCUAAUCAGAAAGCCACGGCUAACUACGUG